AGAGAGAGACAUGCGCGCAUAUCAAUAAGCGGAGGAAAAGAAACUAACAAGGAUUCCCUCAGUAACGGCGAGUGAAGCGGGAAGAGCUCAAAUUUGAAAUCUUCAAGGUUCUACCUUGACGAAUUGUAGUUUAAAGAAGUGUUUUCUGCUGGAAGUUUUGGUAAAAGUUCUUUGGAAUAGGACAUCAUAGAGGGUGAGAAUCCCGUAUUUGACCAUUUACUUUUCAGCUGUGUGAUACACUUUCAAAGAGUCGGAUUGUUUGGGAAUGCAGUCCAAAAUGGGUGGUAAAUUUCAUCUAAAGCUAAAUACUGGCGAGAGACGGAUAGCGAACAAGUACCGUGAGGGAAAGAUGAAAAGAACUUUGAAAAGAGAGUUAAACAGUACGUGAAAUUGUCAAAAGGGAAGCGUUUGACACCAGUGUUGUUUUCUCGAAAAUCAAUUAAAAAAGGCUAGGAUUUUGUUGUUGUAUUGACCUUUAAUCAGCUUCUGCAUCUCAAUUUUCUUGUCUUUUUUUAAUGCACUUUUCGUUUAACAAGUCAACAUCAGUUUCUUUUGUUGUAAAAGGGUCAUUGGAAGGUGGCUUUCUUUUCGGAGAAAGUGUUUAUAGCCUUUGCCUCUGCAAUCGGAGAGAUUGAGGUCUGCAGCGUAGAUCCUUCGGGGUUAGAUACAUUUGUGCUAAGUUAUAGCCUUUCAUAGACAACUUGUUGACUAUGAUCAGUCAUGUAGCUUACUCGCUUAUGCUAUUUUACCUACGCUUAGGAUGUUGAUGUGAUACUGCGAGCA
rnacentral:rRNA from 1 species